ensembl:lncRNA
AAACACACCCAAAAUGUCUUGUGCAAAACUCACUUCAUUUACAAAAGUAUCUGCUGUUAAAAUGCAAAUUGGGUAUGACGUUGAUCAGUAAGAGUUUAUUAGCAAGGUAGAGGUCUCCUCUGUGGUGAACCCUGUACACCUCAUGCAUGUGUUUACAAUAUGCCCACAUGCAUUUAUGAAUGUACAUUUUGUUCAGUAAUGGCAGGACUGAAGAUUAAAUCAAAGGGAAACCAGCUGAAUUUCCUACUGGUUAGCAAGGAAAAUCAGCUCUGAGUGGAACACUAUUACACUUUCUGAGCCCUGUUCUCCUCCCACUUAACACUGGUGUAAAUCAAAGAGCAACUUCAUUACUAGACUUGUUUGAGCAUCAGUUGGUCACACUUAAACAAAAAUUUUCAUUUAGACCUCCCCACAUAAUGGUUUUACUGAUGUGCUGCCAACAGUAAAGCAGCAAUAUCUGUCACAGUAUCGUUGACUGCUUAUAUAUAAUUGAAUGUUUGUCUUUUGUGAGAUACAAAGAAGCCUACAGCCCAGAUGCUUCCCACAGAGCGCUCACUUGUUUCACUGAUGACUUUAAUGGGUCCCCGGGGAACCCAACCCAAUUUGGUUUAACCUUUAUUUGAAAUGGCUGUGGCCUGUAGUCAAACAAUUUGUCCCAGUCUCUCAUAUAGUCGUUUAAGUUAGGGAUCCCUGUAAUACAAACCUCAUUUAUUAAAUUAUGGGCUUCAAAUCAGAUCAUAGGGACCUAGCCUAAAUGCUCACUGCAACAGAGUGAGCAUUUGGAGUUAUAGUAACGACUCUUACAUCAUUGGCACUUCCUUUGCAAGGCUUCUUGUUGAGACACUGAGAAAACUGCCAGUCUUUGUCUCAGCUGCUUCCAGUACACACAUUUUGUACACAAGUAAUUUUACGUCACAAAUUAUCUAAAGGCCAAGUUUCUUUUUGAAUGGAUUUAAUAACAACUCAUUUAAUUAAAGUAAAAACCACAAGAUAAAUGAUAUUAACCAGUCACAUCAGCUUGAGAACACCAAGUUUAGGGCAAAACUCUGAUCCUAUCUUUCCUUUAAUACAUCUCCACAGACUCAACUGUCUGAGAGAUACACUGUCCAAUCGUGCCAAAAAGAUAAAUAACUAAAAUAAUAAUAAUUUUCUAUCAAUCCUGUGACCUACAAUAUUUAGGGUUAACAUGCAAAGUAUUUCAGCAGUAGUUGUAACACCUGUUCUAUUUAAAGCAGGUAUAGCGGACUGUUUUACUUUGACAACCAUAGACCCAUCGACUACACUGUUUUCACAUCAGGAUAUGCUAGUUGGUUUGUAUUUGUCCAAAUGAAAUGGAUAUACUCAUCCACUCUUGGUGGAAAGUUAUUAGUUGCACAAUUGCUAUGUGUGUGUAUAUAUGUAGAUAUAUAGAGAUAUACACAUACAUAUAUAAAUAUAUAUAUAUAAUAUAUGCAGAUGGAGACUAAUACAACAUGGGGACUUGAAAUAAGCAGUUUAAUCCCAUGAAUCAUGGAUGAAUACACGAGUUAAGGAACAGCUUAGGUGACGUAUGCCAAACUGGAUUGAUUUUUGAAAGGAAAAAAAAAAAGAAGGAAAAAUAUAACCCACAACCAAAACACCCCACAUUGAAAUCCAGGCUUAUUCCAACUCUCAUGUUGUAUUUACGCUAACCUUUAGUUAUCCUCGCUUAAUAAAAUUUAUAUCAUUUGAAGAUAUUUGUAAUUGUUUACUGACUCAUUUUUAGUUGUGUGUGUAUAAGCUUGUCAUCAGUAGUGAAAAUGGGAGGGUUUAUAGCUAGAAUAACUGCAUCACUGUUUUCAAAGGGACAGCUAUGUAGGAAAGUUUCAUUCAACAUUUGAACAUUGUACUCCUUCUCUGCAUCAAUAAGUGACUGUAUUUCAUGAUCUGGGGCUAAAAUGAAUGUAAAGACAGGCAUGUGUAUGUACAUGCAUGCACAUCCUGUUCAGGACCGUAGAAUGAGAGCAUGUCUGGUGAACUGUGACGGUGAAUUCAGUACAAACAAGCUGUGUUGUUACUGCCAUUUCAGGCAGAAAUCAUAACAAUCUGCCCCAUAACAACCUCUAACUUAUCACCAAGAAAUUUUUUAUGUUUUCUUUUUUAAAGCUCGAGCAAGGAGAAAAAUAUUUUUGUUUGAUUUUCAGAGAUACUGAUUUCAGCUACUUUUCCAGUUGUUUCUUUGGGCCCUAGUUGCUGAACUGCUUGCUGUUUCUGAGGUGUAAAUAAACGUUUUGAUUUAUGACGUGGU